rnacentral:rRNA from 1 species
GAUGAACGCUGACAGAAUGCUUAACACAUGCAAGUCGAUGGGGAAGUGGUGCUUGCCCCAUGGCAACCAUGGCGGACGGGUGAGUAACGCGUAAGGGACUUACCUGCAGGACUGGGAUAACAGGGGGAAACUCCUGACAAGACCGGAUAAUGUCAUGGAGCUGCAUGGCUUUAUGAUGAAAGGAGACGCCUGCGGAGAGCCUUGCGUCCUAUUAGCUAGUUGGUGAGGUAAUGGCUCACCAAGGCGAAGAUAGGUAGCCGGCCUGAGGGGGUGGACGGCCACAAGGGGACUGAGAUACGGCCCUUACUCCUACGGGAGGCAGCAGUGGGGAAUAUUGGACAAUGGGGGCAACCCUGAUCCAGCAAUUCUGUGUGCACGAAGAAGGUUUUCGGAUUGUAAAGUGCUUUCAGCAGGGAAGAAGUAAGUGACGGUACCUGCAGAAGAAGCGACGGCUAAAUACGUG